AGAGGGAGAAAAAAAAGAUUCAGGGAUUCGAAUUUUGUUUCCAGGAUGACUCAGCCUAUUACCUGCAAAAUAACUCCAGCACAAUUUAUAGGAAGAGGUGUGGAGAGAAAUUUAUGUGUGUUUAAUAAACACAGAAAAUUCUGCUGUGUUCAAGGGGCGUCACUUUCCUGCCUUCAGCAGUGUUACAGCUAGUCCCAUCUUUGAACAGUAUUCAGACUUUAUCUCUGACAUUUGGUGGCCUCCAGGACAAAGGCAUAGCAGAAAUCUCUUCUUUUGGGGGUGCUUACAGAUAGUUAUGAUGACCAUAGAUCUGAACUGGGUUCAAAUCCCAUCUACACCAUUUGUGAGCUGACUUUGGGCAAGCUGUUUAUUCUCUUUGAACCUCAGUAUCCACACCUCUAAGGAAACUAACACCGCUGUCUCCCUAUAACCAACAGAGAUGGAGGUUAAAAAAAUUACUAGAAUUACUGACACCAAAAACUAAUUCUUGGUGGGUCCCUUGUCUUUGUUCCCUUCUGCUGCCCCAAGGCUUAAAUCUAAGGGAAUCAGGCCAUUUACACAGGAUAUUUUCUUAAAAUGUUUUUUAAAGGGAAAUUUGCAAGCUAACGUGAUCAGCAACAUUAAUUUAAUACAUUGUUGAGCAACUAUAACAUGUACACACUAUUCUAGGUACCAGUUUGAGGGCCCCAAACACAUAGAUGACAAAGUCAUAGUGUCUUUCUGCUUGGGGACACCACACGUCCAUAAAACUUGUGGCCCAAGGUGGCAACCACAUGAGUUCCUCUUCCUGAGGUUAGCACUCUUCCUGUCAAACUUCAGUACUAUUUAAAUGAAGAUUCCCUGCAACCCUGAAUUUUUUUUUUAAAUGCUUUGCAUCUGCUUGCUAACCCUAGUAAAAUAGGGACUGUCCUCUGGGCUAAGGAGGAAUGAAUCUGCAUUCCCACCACAUCCUGGCAGCAGUGACAGAAGAAACUGACAAUCAGCAUCUCCUCUUGGCCCACCUGUAAUCUUUUCACAGUGCCUUGGGCCAGAGAUUGCAAACUGGGAGCUACUAGAUGGACCAGACCUGAGGACAUUUGCUACAUGGCUGACACAGUGCUUUGUAAACUUGAGCCAGCAGUUAAUAUUCAGUCAACACGAUAUGAAAUUUCAGACUACUUUGCUUGGCAGGAGUCCAGAGGAGGUGGACUCCGAGCAGUGGCUGACCCUUUAGAAAGGGCAUGUGCUCCCAAGUUAACCUCAGAGCCCUGUUGGCAGACCCCUUCCCCCAGGAGGCGGCACACAGGGGAACAUCCCGCCUCUUCCCAGCCUUGCUGAUGGGGUGAUAGGGAAGCUGGUUCCUUCUGUUCCAGACUGGGUUUGUUCUCCUUGGUUCUUGUUCCACCAUGACAAGGAACUGAAGGGCAGAGGCACAGUAGCAAAGCAGAGUGAAAGUUUUGUUUGAAUGCCCUUCAAGGGAGGAGCCCACCAGAGUCAAGGUGGACAAAGGCCCGAACUCUAGGCAGGAGGCCUUUAUGUUACAUUCUGGCUGGGAGGCGCCUUGGCGGCUGACAAGGGGGUGCUAUUUGGCCGACAGGUCCAUCUGCACAGCCUCACUCCCGGUGAGCCCGUCCUCUCCCGCUGAGGUGUGGGGGGCAGCUCUUAGUUCCGUCCCAUUGUGCCCGGCUGGGAUCUGGCUGGGGGGGAAGCCAUCCCCCUGCAAACCUGUCUCCACAUGGGACCCUUCCUGGGCCGAGUUUGGGCGGCUUUUUCUUUGAACCUUAACUUCCCUCUUCCGGCUGCCCGUGCCUAUCUAUCUAACAUUCCGAACAGUUGUCACCCCCCACUCUCUCUUUUCUUCCCACAGACCCCAAGGGAUUAUGACAUGUAGCAAGACGGAAGAGCACUUAAACUUAAAAUAGACCUCAAAGCCUUCAAAAUAUAUUUUGGGCCCAGAUGACUGGUUAUCAGAACUCAAGGAGCUGUAGAAGCCACUUCUUUGGAAGGCAUGCAGGCCUUCACAUUAAUGAGGCAACUCUUUAAUUCUGUGAUUCAGUGACAUCAGUGUGUUGCCAAAUUGUCUUGCACUGUGGGCGCUCCCCUCUAAUGAGAACCUUUAUUCAUGUCCUAAAUAGAAUUAAAUUCAAGUGUCCUGACCCAGAUGAAUUAUAGGCCAGACUACCCAGAGAACCCAGGAAAAGGACUUACAAUGUUUAUCUGUGGUCUUAGAGCAAUCGCAGAUAUUUAAAACAGAGGUGGAAUCUAGAGACAGAAAAAGUAUCCCAUUAAAAAGAAGAGAGUUCAUACAAACACAGCAAACUUGUGAGCAUGACAGAUUGCAGACACAGUUCUAGAAUGGAUUUUAAAGGGGAAAGGGCACUCUGUCCACUCUGCAAGAAAAAUGAUUGAUCCUGUGACCUAGCUUGGGUUAACCACAGACAAGUCAUGUCAGCCUCGCCCUCCCUCCCUUAUUCCACAGCUCUGCCGGUCUAGCUGAGGAAGGAAAUACGCAAGACAGGAGAUCUUCAUUGUUCAACAAUAACUGGUACAGGAAAAGGCCACUUAUGUAAGUCCACUUAUAAGGAAAACCAAAAUUUCAUGUUAAAUAAUGCAAAAACAUUUUUAGUGGGACUUUAUCCUGCAAAACGAAACUUGAAAUCAUGAACUUUUUUCUUCUAUUUUAAAAACCACUUAGUAGACAAAUAUUUACUGCACAACUAUUAUGUGACAGCCCCUGGUGAUGAAUACACAGCAGUGAACAGAUUAGACAAGGUCCUUGCCCUUAUAAUCUAAGGGAAGGCAGGAAAAAAUUUAAACACAAAACUAAGCAAAAUAGUUGCAGUUAGUGAUAAUGACGGUGUUACAAGGAGAUAAAGUAGCGUAACCACAUAAAGAAGGUUAGAUGGGGGAUGGAGAAGGCCCCUCUCUGGACGUGACGUGGGAGCUGACAUUUGAUGAGGAGUCAGGCAGCCACAGUCUGUUGGAGAGAGGGGCCUGGACUGCAGAAACCCCGCAGAGAAUCCAGCUGGGCAGCCCCUGCAAUGGCUGGAGAGUGAGCAAGGAGCACGGGGCCCUGAGGCGUGAGCUGUGGCACAGUCAGAUGAGGCGGGCCUGGGAGGCCAUGGGAAAGGGUUUGGAUUUUAUAAAUGUGACGAGAAGCCACUGGAGGGAUUUCAGUGUGGAAUGACACGAUCUGAUUUAUGUUUAAAAGGUG